AACGAACGCUGGCGGCGUGGAUAAGACAUGCAAGUCGAACGGGAGUUUGUUUAUAGCAAUAUGAGUGAACUCUAGUGGCGAAAGGGUGCGUAACACGUAGCUACCUACCUCGAAGUUGGGAUAGCUCGGCGAAAAGCCGGAUUAAUACCGAAUGUGACCGUAAGGUCAAAGCUGGGGAUCGUAAGACCUGGCGCUUUGAGAUGGGGCUGCGGCCUAUCAGGUAGUUGGCGGGGAAUGGCCCACCAAGCCUAAGACGGGUAGCUGGUCUGAGAGGAACGACCAGCCACACUGGAAACUGAGACACGGUCCAGACACCUACGGGUGGCAGCAGUCGA
rnacentral:rRNA from 1 species